UACAGAGGUCUCAAGCGUUGUUCGGAUUCAUUGGGCGUAAAGGGUGCGUAGGUGGCGCGGUAAGUCGGGUGUGAAAUCUCGGAGCUUAACUCCGAAAUUGCAUUCGAUACUGCCGUGCUUGAGGACUGGAGAGGAGACUGGAAUUCAUGGUGUAGCAGUGAAAUGCGUAGAGAUCAUGAGGAAGACCAGUGGCGAAGGCGAAUCUCUGGACAGUUCCUGACGCUCAUGCACGAAGGCCAGGGGAGCAAACGGG
rnacentral:rRNA from 1 species